rnacentral:rRNA from 1 species
GAGUUUGAUCCUGGCUCAGGAUGAACGUUGGCGGUGCGCUUUAUGCAUGCAAGUCGUACGGGACUACGAUUCUCGGAUUGUGGUCCAGUGGCGGACGGCUGAGUAACACGUGGGUAACUUACCCGUGAGCGGGGGAUAACUUACCGAAAGGUACGCUAAUACCGCAUGGUGUGGGACUGCCAAAGCAGUCUCACUAAAGCCGCAAGGCACUCACGGAUAGGCCUGCGGCCGAUCAGCUAGUUGGUGAGGUAACGGCCCACCAAGGCAGUGAUCGGUAGCUGGUCUGAGAGGAUGUCCAGCCAGAUGGGGACUGAGACACGGCCCCAACUCCUACGGGAGGCAGCAGCAAGGAAUAUUGGGCAAUGGGCGAAAGCCUGACCCAGCGACACCGCGUGGGGGAUGAAGGUUCUCGGAUCGUAAACCCCUUUUCUCAGGGAAGAUAAUGACGGUACCUGAGGAAUAAGUCUCGGCCAACUACGUGCCAGCAGCCGCGGUAAUACGUAGGAGGCGAACGUUAUCCGGAUUUACUGGGCGUAAAGAGAGCGUAGGCGGUUUCCCAAGUCGGGUGCGAAAUCUCUUGACUCAAUCAGGAGGGGCUAUCCGAUACUGGGUCACUCGAGGGCGGCAGAAGGAAACGGAAUUCCGAGUGUAGCGGUGAAAUGCGUUGAUAUUCGGAGGAACACCAGUGGCGAAGGCGGUUUCCUAGGCUGUUCCUGACGCUGAGGCUCGAAAGCGUGGGGAGCGAAGCGGAUUAGAUACCCGCGUAGUCCACGCCCUAAACGGUGGACACUAGAUAUGGGGAGUAUCGACCCUCCUCGUGUCGAAGCCAACGCUUUAAGUGUCCCGCCUGGGGAGUACGGCCC